AGGAUAGGCGAAGCGUGCUGUUGGAGUGCACGUCCAAGCAGUAAGGCUGAGUGUUAGGCAAAUCCGGCACUCAUAAGGCUGAGCUGUGAUGGGGAGAGGAAAUUGUUUCCUCGAGUCGUGGAUUUCACACUGCCGAGAAAAGCCUCUAGAUAUAUAACAGGUGCCCGUACCCCAAACCCACACAGGUAGUCAAGAUGAGAA
rnacentral:rRNA from 1 species